rnacentral:tRNA from 1 species
GGACCCUUAGCUCAGUCGGUUAGAGCAGCGGACUCAUAACCCGUUGGUCACAGGUUCAAGUCCUGUAGGGUCCACCA